rfam:Gossypium hirsutum cultivar TM-1 chromosome 22, whole genome shotgun sequence
UUAGCGGCGCUUUUAAGCGCCACUAAAAGUAUUAACGAUGCUUUU